AUGGGUCUGCCUGCUGAGCAGAUGCCACCUGGUGCAGUGACCAGGCUUCCUCUGCCCCAGCUGCACGAGGUGAUGGGAGGCCCCAGGCAGGGGUUUUUGUAUGAACCUCUGUCACAGUGUGGUGUGUUCGGCGGAGGGACCCAGCUGACCAUCAUAAGUUCAGAAAAGGCCACUCCCGCUGUCACUCUCUUCGCACCCUCCUCUGAGGAGCUGAAAGACAACAAGGCCACACUGGUGUGUCUGAUGAGUGACUUCUACCCACCCACCGUCUCCGUGGCCUGGCAGGCAGAUGGCAGUCCUGUCACGCAGGGCGUGGAGACCACCAAGCCCUCAAAACAAAGCAACGGCAAGUACACGGCCAGCAGCUACCUGAGCCUGACAGGUGACCAGUGGAGAAGUCACAAAAGGUACAGCUGCCUGGUCACCCACGAUGGCAAGAUGGAGGAGAAGACAGUGGCCCCCGCAGAAUGUGUUUAG